GCCACACUGGGACUGAGACACGGCCCAGACUCCUACGGGAGGCAGCAGUGGGGAAUAUUGCACAAUGGGCGCAAGCCUGAUGCAGCAACGCCGCGUGAGGGAUGACGGCCUUCGGGUUGUAAACCUCUUUUAGUAGGGAAGAAGCGAAAGUGACGGUACCUGCAGAAAAAGCACCGGCUAACUACGUGCCAGCAGCCGCGGUAAUACGUAGGGUGCGAGCGUUGUCCGGAAUUAUUGGGCGUAAAGAGCUCGUAGGCGGUCUGUCGCGUCUGCUGUGAAAACCCGAGGCUCAACCUCGGGCCUGCAGUGGGUACGGGCAGACUAGAGUGCGGUAGGGGAGAAUGGAAUUCCUGGUGUAGCGGUGGAAUGCGCAGAUAUCAGGAGGAACACCGAUGGCGAAGGCAGUUCUCUGGGCCGUAACUGACGCUGAGGAGCGAAAGCGUGGGGAGCGAACAGGAUUAGAUACCCUGGUAGUCCACGCCGUAAACGUUGGGCGCUAGAUGUGGGGACCAUUCCACGGUUUCCGUGUCGCAGCUAACGCAUUAAGCGCCCCGCCUGGGGAGUACGGCCGCAAGGCUAAAACUCAAAGGAAUUGACGGGGGCCCGCACAAGCGGCGGAGCAUGCGGAUUAAUUCGAUGCAACGCGAAGAACCUUACCAAGGCUUGACAUACACGAGAACGCCCUAGAAAUAGGGAACUCUUUGGACACUCGUGAACAGGUGGUGCAUGGUUGUCGUCAGCUCGUGUCGUGAGAUGUUGGGUUAAGUCCCGCAACGAGCGCAACCCUCGUUCUAUGUUGCCAGCGCGUAAUGGCGGGAACUCAUAGGAGACUGCCGGGGUCAACUCGGAGGAAGGUGGGGAUGACGUCAAAUCAUCAUGCCCCUUAUGUCUUGGGCUUCACGCAUGCUACAAUGGCCGGUACAAAGGGCUGCAAUACCGUAAGGUGGAGCGAAUCCCAAAAAGCCGGUCUCAGUUCGGAUUGAGGUCUGCAACUCGACCUCAUGAAGUCGGAGUCGCUAGUAAUCGCAGAUCAGCAACGCUGCGGUGAAUACGUUCCCGGGCCUUGUACACACCGCCCGUCAAGUCAUGAAAGUCGGUAACACCCGAAGCCGGUGGCCCAACCCUUG
rnacentral:rRNA from 1 species